rnacentral:rRNA from 1 species
GACGAACGCUGGCGGCGUGCUUAACACAUGCAAGUCGAACGGAAAGGCCCUGCUUUUGUGGGGUGCUCGAGUGGCGAACGGGCGAGUAACACGUGAGUAACCUGCCCUUGACUUUGGGAUAACUUCAGGAAACUGGGGCUAAUACCGGAUAGGAGCUCCUGCUGCAUGGUGGGGGUUGGAAAGUUUCGGCGGUUGGGGAUGGACUCGCGGCUUAUCAGCUUGUUGGUGGGGUAGUGGCUUACCAAGGCUUUGACGGGUAGCCGGCCUGAGAGGGUGACCGGCCACAUUGGGACUGAGAUACGGCCCAGACUCCUACGGGAGGCAGCAGUGGGGAAUAUUGCACAAUGGGCGGAAGCCUGAUGCAGCAACGCCGCGUGCGGGAUGACGGCCUUCGGGUUGUAGACCGCUUUCGCCUGUGACGAAGCGUGAGUGACGGUAAUGGGUAAAGAAGCACCGGCUAACUACGUG